GAUGAACGCUGGCGGCGUGCCUAAUACAUGCAAGUCGAGCGAAAAGACGAGGCGCUUGCUCCUCGGACGAUAGGGGAGGACGGGUGAAAAACACGUGGAAAACCUACCUAUAAGACGGGGAACACUUCGGGACACCGGAGCAAACACCGGAUAAUCUCUUGAACCGCAGGGGUGGAUAGUGAAAGUCGGUUUUGCGGUCACGUAUCGAUGGAUACGCGCCGCAUUAGCUAGUUGGUGCGGUAAAGGCCUAUCAAGGCAACUAUGCGUAUCCGACCGCAUGGGGUGGUAGCCCACCCUGGAACUUAGACACGGUCCAGACUCCUGCGGUAGGCAGCAGUAGGGAAUCUUCCGCAGUGGUCGGAAGCCUUGCGGAGCAACGCCGCGUGAGUUAUGAAGGUCUUCGGAUCGUAAAACUCUGUUAUUAGUUAAGAACCAAUUUGUAAGUAACUAUGCACGUCUUGACGGUACCUAAUCAGAAAGCCACGGCUAACUACGUG
rnacentral:rRNA from 1 species